AAAGAAAAGAACACACCAAUGGGAGGACACUCAUGCGAGUAUGCGGUCUCUCUCUUCUCUGGUAACACGGCGGGAAACUGAUAAUUUUGGGGAAAAACCCUCCAAAACCAUCCGAAAUCUAAAUUCCUUAACUUUAAACCCUAACCCUCUCUUCCCUUUUCCAAUUUCCCCAAAUCCCCAAUUGUCAGUUUCACUGCUGAAAUCCACACUCUGAGGAGAGCGAGAGAGCAAAAGAACCUACCAACUCUUUUGCUCUCCCUCUCUCUUCCGCACCCACACCACCUUAAUUUUCCCCUUUCCAUGGCAUUUCUCCAUAAACGCAAAGACCACCACCACAAAUUCCAACGGCCACCGCUUGGGCGCGAGUACGGCGAAGAAGGUGAAGAUAUUAACGUCGAUACCCACACUGACGCGCCCUUGCGAUACGUUUCUUUGGAUCGUGUCUACUCUGCUGCUUCUCUCUGCGUUAGUGCCAGUGGAUCGUCUAACGUUAUGUCCAAGAAGGUUAAAGCCCGGAAACUCAUUGUCCAUGGUAUUGAUGAUCCUCGUCUUGGUAGGCCCCCGAUCCUUUACGUCUACUCUCGUCGAUCUAAGAGACCCCGGCAUUCUACACCAACGCCGUCUUUUUUUGAGUCGUUGAUUCUACGCACUGCUGAAUCGGUGCCUAAACUUGCUGUAAAGACUGAAAUUUGUGGGUUUGAGGACUCGAUUGACAAUGAUUUGAAGAGGAAGGAGAAGAAGAGAAGGAUUGGGCGUAGUGAGUUGGUGAAGUUGGGAGUUGAUUCUAGCGUUUUGGGAGGUGUUGAGAGGCCGCGAUUGAGGGAUUGUCGCAAUCAUAAUGUGAAUAGUAAUAGUGGAACUUUACGGAGAAAGAAUCGUGGUUCUUUACAGAUUUCUGACAAGGUUUUAUCGCUGCCAGCUUCUACUAAAAGAUGGGUCAGGUUGAGUUACGAUGAUGUUGAUCCAAAAAGGUUCAUUGGAUUAUCUUGCAAGGUUUAUUGGCCAUUGGAUGCUGAUUGGUAUUCUGGACGUGUUGUUGGGUACACUUCAGAGACUAAACGGCAUCAUGUUGAAUAUGAAGAUGGAGAUAAAGAGGAUUUGAUUCUUUCAAAUGAGAAAAUAAAAUUUUUUAUUUCUCGGGAGGAGAUGGAGCGGUUGAACUUGACUUUCAGUAUAAAAAAUACAGAUGGUGAUAACUAUGAUUAUGAUGAGAUGGUUGUGUUAGCUGCCGUUUUGGAUGACUGCCAAGAUCUUGAGCCUGGGGAUAUUAUAUGGGCAAAACUUACUGGUCAUGCUAUGUGGCCAGCAAUUGUUGUGGAUGAAUCACUUAUUGGUAAUCGUAAAGGCUUAAACAAAAUUUCUGGAAAAAAAUCAGUGUUUGUGCAAUUCUUUGGCACCCAUGAUUUUGCCAGAAUUAAACCGAAGCAGGUAAUCUCAUUUCUUAAAGGACUUCUUUCGUCUUUUCACCUUAAGUGCAGGAAACCUCAUUUCGCACGAAGCUUGGAAGAAGCAAAAAUGUAUUUGAGUGAGCAAAAGCUUCCAAGAAGAAUGCUACAGCUGCAAAAUAGCAUGAAUGGCGAUGCUAACUGUGACAGUGCGAGCAGUGAGGAUGAGGGGAGUACAGAUUCAGGUGAAGACUGCAGAAGAGAUGAAGGCAUACAAAGGAUAUUGAGAGGCCUUGAAACUUCUCCAUAUGUUAUUGGGGAUUUACAAAUAAUAAGCCUUGGAAAGAUUGUCAAGGACUCAGAAUAUUUCCAGGAUGAUAGAUUUAUCUGGCCUGAAGGAUAUACUGCCUUGCGGAAGUUUACGUCAAUAACAGAUCCAAGCGUUUGUACCAUAUAUAAAAUGGAAGUGUUGAGGGAUGCUGAGUCUAAGAUUCGGCCUCUAUUUAGAGUGACAUUGGAUGAUGGAGAGCAGAUCAAAGGAUCCACUCCAUCCACUUGCUGGGAUAAAAUAUACAGAAGAAUAAGGAAAGUGCAAGAAAGUACUUCCAAUGGUUUUAGUGUUGAAGCUGUAGUAGACAGAUUCUAUGAAUCUGGUUCUGACAUGUUUGGUUUCUCUAAUCCUGAAGUUAUGAAACUUAUAAAGGGAUUAUCAAAAUCCAGACUAUCUUCUAAAAUGUCUUUGUGCAAAUUAACCUCUGAAAGGUAUCAGGACUUACCUGUUGGUUACAGACCUGUUCGUGUUGACUGGAAAGACCUUGAUAAGUGCAGCGUAUGCCAUAUGGAUGAGGAAUAUGAAAACAAUCUGUUCCUGCAGUGUGAUAAAUGCAGAAUGAUGGUCCAUGCCAGAUGCUAUGGAGAAUUAGAACCUGUUGAUGGUGUGCUAUGGUUGUGCAACUUUUGCCGUCCUGGGGCUCCUGAUUCCCCACCACCCUGCUGCCUUUGUCCUGUUAUUGGUGGUGCUAUGAAGCCUACGACUGAUGGGCGCUGGGCUCAUUUGGCUUGUGCCAUCUGGAUACCUGAAACUUGCUUGUCUGAUGUCAAGAGAAUGGAGCCUAUUGAUGGCUUGAAUAGGAUCAAUAAGGAUCGUUGGAAACUCUUAUGUAGCAUUUGUGGUGUAGCUUAUGGAGCCUGCAUUCAAUGUUCGAAUAAUACUUGUCGGGUGGCAUAUCAUCCUCUUUGUGCACGGGCAGCUGGCCUUUGUGUUGAGCUUGAGGAUGAGGAUAGACUCCACCUCCUUGCUGUAGAUGACGAUGAAGAGGAUCAGUGCAUUCGCCUUCUUUCCUUCUGCAAGAAGCACAGACAGCCAUCUAAUGAGCGUCCAGUUAUAGAUGAACGGAUUGGUCGAGUUACUCGCCGAUGUUCUGACUAUGUCCCUCCAUGUAAUCCAUCUGGCUGUGCUCGUACCGAGCCUUACAAUUAUUUUGGAAGAAGAGGGCGGAAAGAACCAGAAGCCCUUGCUGCUGCAUCCUUGAAGCGCUUGUUUGUUGAGAAUCAACCUUACUUGGUUGGAGGUUGCUGUCAACAUCAAUCAUCGGGCAGUACACUACCUUCAAAUGGAGUCGUAGGCGCCAGAUUCUCUUCUAACCUUCAGAAAAUAAAAGCCUCACAGCUUGAUGCUCCUAACAACAUUCUCUCUAUGGCUGAAAAGUAUAAUUACAUGUGGCAGACCUUCCGGAAGAGAUUAGCUUUUGGCAAAUCAGGAAUUCAUGGAUUUGGCAUCUUUGCAAAGCAUCCACAUAGGGCAGGGGACAUGGUUAUUGAAUACACUGGUGAACUUGUCAGGCCUCCUAUAGCUGACAGGAGGGAACACUUCAUAUACAAUUCAUUGGUGGGUGCUGGAACUUACAUGUUUCGCAUUAAUGAUGAAAGAGUCAUUGAUGCAACAAGGGCAGGAAGCAUUGCUCAUCUGAUUAAUCACUCAUGCGAGCCCAAUUGCUAUUCAAGAGUAAUAACUGUUAAUGGUGAUGAACAUAUAAUUAUAUUUGCAAAGAGAGAUAUCAAAAGAUGGGAAGAACUCACAUAUGAUUAUAGGUUUUUCUCGAUUGAUGAACAACUUGCAUGCUAUUGUGGCUUCCCACGAUGUCGUGGUGUGGUUAAUGACAUUGAAGCUGAGGAGCAAGUGGCAAAGCUCUAUGCUCCUUGCAGUGAAUUGAUAGACUGGAACAGAGAAUAAAAAAAAAUAAAUGAAACGUUAUACAACUUGGCAAAUUCAUUGAACUCGUCACAUAUUGGCAGAUUGUUUUUCUACUCAAACAACAAAUUGUUUACUUGAUCUCAAUGCCAGAUUGGCCAGUUCUUUUAUCCUAUAGAGGUGGAGAAACUAUGAGCAAGGUCUCAUCUAAUUACCAAUUCUGAUUUAGUUAGUAGUUAGUGCAGAUGCUACUUCAUAAAUGCAAGUGCAGUAAGUACGGAUGAUCUGCAUUCUGAAAGAAAUUGGAAAACUUCAGAAAUGUGAAAUUGCAGAACUUCUUGUUCAAAGGCAUUUUUGGGUCAUUUUGCUAAGUUAACAGGGAUGAGAAUAUGAUGAAUAUUAGCUUCAUUCAACUUUAGCUGGAUAAAAUUAUUUGAUGAUAGACAGUAAAUAUAUGGAUAAUUUCAUAACUACAAACUGACUACAGAAAUAAAUUUAUUAUUAUUAUUAUUAUUAUUAUUAUUAUUAUUAUUAUAUGGCAUGUAAUAUAUUUAUGUUGCAAGAAUUGGAGUGUCUGUAAAUGAUAUGGACAUGUGUGUUCCCUUUUGAUUCUAUUAUUCAAAGAAAAGAUUUCUAUGUUUUUUCA